rnacentral:ncRNA from 2 species
GGAGGAGAGCGUGGCGAUUUGAUACCGGAUUGCGGGCCACAUUAAACACUCCGCUAAAAGGUCACUCGAUGAGGAAA